rnacentral:rRNA from 1 species
GACGAACGUUGGCGGCGUGCCUAAUACAUGCAAGUCAACUGAAAUACCGGUAGCAAUACUGGUAUGGAGGUGGCGCACGGGUGAGUAACACGUAGGUAAUCUGCCUUCAGGUCUGACAUAACCCAUCGAAAGGUGAGCUAAUAUCAGAUGAUGCAGCGGCUUGACAUCAAGACAGUUGUUAAGGCUUCGGCGCCUGAAGAUGAGCCNGCGUCUGAUUAGCUAGUUGGCGGGUAACGGCCCACCAAGGCUGCGAUCAGUAGCUGGUCUGAGAGGAUGAUCAGUCACACUGGAACUGAGACACGGUCCAGACUCCUACGGGAGCAGCAGUAAGAUAUGCUCAUGCCGAAAGCUGAAGCAGCAACGCCGCGUGAGGGAU